GAUGAAGAACGUAGCGAAAUGCGAUAAGUAGUGUGAAUUCCAGAAUUCAGUGAAUCAUCGAAUCUUUGAACGCACAUUGCGCCCCAUGGUAUUCCGUGGGGCAUGCCUGUUCGAGCGUCAUUUACCCCCUCAAGCUCCGCUUGGUGUUGGGCGUCUGUCCCGCUUCGCGCGCGGACUCGCCCCAAAGGUAUUGGCAGCGGUCGUGCCAGCUUCUCGCGCAGCACAUUGCGCUUCUCGAGGCACCGGUGGGCCCGCGUCCAUCAAGCUCACCCCCCCAGUUUGACCUCGGAUCAGGUAGGGAUACCCGCUGAACUUAAGCAUAUCAAUAAGCGGAGGA
rnacentral:misc_RNA from 1 species